AUGAAAACUCAGGUCGAGAUGCCGAAACCGGCGACUUUGGAUGCAACUAUGGACUUAGCAAUCUCCUUUGAGCACCUCAAUACUAUCACCAACACCGCGGCCACUCUGGGCCGGCCCAGCCAUCCAGUCCGCCCCAUGGCUGCACCUACUCCGGCCUUGCCGGACUCCUCCAACCCCACGCCCGCACUCGUCUUUAAAAGACUCACGCCCACCGAGAUGGAUGCGCUAAGGGUCUUAGGUCUCUUCUUCAAUUGUGACGAGAAGUUCGCGCGGGGCCAUCGCUGCAAACGACUGUUCUACAUUCAAUCCGCCGACGCUGAAGAGGAGCAGUUUGAGGAUUUCCAGGAAGCACAAAUCUCACUCUUGGCUGUUACAGGAAUUCCCACCAAUGACACAAUGCUGGUCACUCUUCGCCUCGGGGACCGUGACUUGGUCGCCUUGCUUGAUUAA
rnacentral:rRNA from 1 species